GAUGAACGCUAGCUACAGGCUUAACACAUGCAAGUCGCGGGGCAGCAUGGGGGUUGCUUGCAAUCCCCGAUGGCGACCGGCGCACGGGUGAGUAACGCGUAUCCAACCUGCCCUUCACCACGGGAUAACCCGGCGAAAGUCGGACUAAUACCGUAUGUUGUCCAUUGACGGCAUCCGAUUUGGACGAAAGGUUUGGCGGUGAAGGAUGGGGAUGCGUCCGAUUAGCUGGACGGCGGGGUGACGGCCCACCGUGGCGACGAUCGGUAGGGGUUCUGAGAGGAAGGUCCCCCACACUGGAACUGAGACACGGUCCAGACUCCUACGGGAGGCAGCAGUGAGGAAUAUUGGUCAAUGGGCGUAAGCCUGAACCUGCCAAGUAGCGUGCAGGAUGACGGCCCUAUGGGUUGUAAACUGCUUUUAUGCGGGGAUAAAGUGGCCCACGUGUGGGUUUUUGCAGGUACCGCAUGAAUAAGGACCGGCUAAUUCCGUG
rnacentral:rRNA from 1 species